rnacentral:rRNA from 1 species
GACGAACGCUGGCGGCGUGCUUAACACAUGCAAGUCGAACGAUGAAGCCGGAGCUUGCUCUGGUGAAUUAGUGGCGAACGGGUGAGUAACACGUGAGUAACCUGCCCUUGACUCUGGGAUAACUGCGGGAAACUGUAGCUAAUACCGGAUACGACCCUCGGAGGCAUCUCCUGGGGGUGGAAAGAAUUUCGGUCAAGGAUGGACUCGCGGCCUAUCAGCUAGUUGGUGAGGUAAAGGCUCACCAAGGCGACGACGGGUAGCCGGCCUGAGAGGGGGACCGGCCACACGGGGACUGAGACACGGCCCAGACUCCUACGGGAGGCAGCAGUGGGGAAUAUUGCACAAUGGGCGCAAGCCUGAUGCAGCAACGCCGCGUGAGGGAUGACGGCCCUCGGGUUGUAAACCUCUUUUAGCAGGGAAGAAGCGAAAGUGACGGUACCUGCAGAAAAAGCACCGGCUAACUACGUGCCAGCCGCCGCAGUAA